ensembl:lncRNA
CGCCCCCCCCAACAACAAGCGUAGUGCUGCGUGCCGUCUGUCGUCUGUCGUCUGUCGUCCGCAGGGGGCUGUCUCUCCAGGACCUUUGUUUUGGAUGUGAAUGAGGACAGCUGCCAGAUCCUGCUGUCUGCUGCACACAGUCGGGUAUCAUUCCAGGACCUUGCUUCAGAAGUUAAGUUCCCCCUCUAUUAAAUCACUGGUGUCUGUUGCUGACUCUGGGCUCGUUCUGAUGGGCAAGCACAGCCCUACAGGGUGCAGCCCAACUACUGUUGGAGCAGCCAGGAGACGGAGGAAACCCUCGUGAGCGUGGAUGUGGCAGGAAACACAGCAUAGGGAGGGGAAAGUUGUGGGGGUCAUCCACUAACACAUGGGGCCCCAAAGUUCCAUAGGUCAAGCCGAAAGUUAUGGGAAAUCCCGGGGUGGCUGUCCGCUAGUAUGUGGGGCUCCAGGGUGGCUGUCCUUGCUAACUGGAGGCUGCCAAGAGAUCUGGAGAACAAUGGUCUCUAAUGACUGCUAUUGUAGUGAGUCUUGUAAUAGGUUAAGCUAGCUUUCUAGAAGGAACUGGUAUUUCUCUUGUCCCUUUGAGAUAUAAAUAACCUACCUGUGCUCUCUGGAACUUUAACCUCCUGUGAUCUUUUUGGAUGUGCCUUGUAUAUCUUCUUUGGCCUUUGAGGAUAUGGAUGUAUUUGAAAGUCAAAAUGGAGUAGCUGUGGUGCAGACAUUGGAAGUAAAACUAGGUGGCCAUCGUAUACAUGAUUUUAGGCACAUUCUUGUAUUGUUGAAAGCUUGUUUUCUGAACUGUUUGCAGACCAGGACAUUAUCUCAGAAUGAGGUUACUGCUUGUAUUUUGCUUAAUUGUCAUGAUCUCCCCUCUGUUGUACCUGUUGGAUGUCUUUGGUUUCAUCCCUAGUCUGUGGGAGGAAAUCUAUUUGAGGACUGAGCAACACCACUGGCCUCCCUGUGAAAUGAGUCAAAUUUCUGGGUCUACAGUGAAAUGGCAUUGUUGUCCUCCUCUGGAUUCCAUGAAAAAUUGACCUGCCUAAUGUGAUUAUGUAGGGGUUACUGACAAUGAGGGGAAAGGCUCAUCAUCUUCCGGUCCCACAUGCUGAUACAUCAGAAAGACUCCUGUCAAUAAACAUUACUGAAUGACCAACAGCCCAUGAGCCGCCCCCCAGACUAUGCUGUACAGAGAGGAAUAGGCUGGACUUCUGGACAUACAGUCCAUCUAGUGGGGUUAAUUGCUUUUGUUUGGAAAGACUUAAUGGGUCCACCUUUAACAGCACUCAGCAUCACACGAGAUGAAGAUAUGUACUGUGACCGCUGACUUCUGGCCAGACCAUCAGACUGUUUCUUUUAAAAGUUUGGUACAGUGACCACCAGACAGUAAUGGAACUCUGAGGCCCCAAUUCUUGCAGAAGAGCCUUGCUAGGAGAAAAUGGAAGCAGUGGAAGAAGGGUUGGCUGGUGGACACCUGAGGAUCCUUCGUUUCCUUCUGCCCACCUUCCAGGAGGCUUUGAUUUCCUGGGACCUGUGGGGUUAUGAGAAGUCCGCCUGUGGCGCCAUGGGGGUAGAGGACGUGGUUUGGGCUAAAGCGCUCACACUAGGUGUAGACGGAUGGACUGUGCUGAUGAGCACAGACUACGUCCCUUAUCACCUACAGGGCUGGGGAUUGUUUGCAGGUGAACAUAGUACUUAAAAGCAUCUAAUCACAGUGACUCUUCACUUUUCUGAGGAUUCUGUGACCAGUACUCAUUCUUGCUUUGGAGAAUGUAAUGUAGAUAUGAGACAGACUCCCUGGAGGUCAUAUUAUUUUCUAAAGCCAAUGACAGGUAAGUGCAGGGGCAGCUGUGAGGCUCAAAGUAGUCACCAGGGGAACUCUUGAGAACUACCCAUUCAGGUCAAGAGAGUCCAAAUGACCAUAGGGGGACAUAUGUAUGUGGUGAGUUCUCUGACCUUCACCACCCUUAGCUCUUUCAAGAUUUGUCCUCUGUAUUGAAGCCCUUUAUAUUGACAUAUAUAAAGGAUCUCUUUUUCCUAUCCACAAACUGGCUGAUACAAGGUAAUAGUUAAAUUUGUGAGGGAGGUUGAUAUGGUUUGAGAGCAUCAUCUUCAAUUGGGAAGAAAAAUGCUUAUGUGUGAAUCCUUGGGCAAUACCAAUACUUGGGAAUCAGUGGAGGGAGACCAGAAAUAAGACCAAAAAAGGAACUGUCUGAUGCAGAGGAAGAGAACUAGUGGAUUAUAAUGUGGAAACCAAAGCAUUAAGUUUCAAAGAGGAGGAGGAAUUUGCGAAGGAACAAGACUUGGUAAGAGAGAACAAAUGAUCAGCCAGUAGAUUUGGUGGAAAUAAGGUCACAUUAGAUCUUUGCAAGAAUAGUUUCAGUUGAGAUAUAAAGGAUGAAGCCAUUGUAGGGUCAGCUAGAAGAACUGGCCCAGUGAAUUCACCCAUAUGAAAACAGACCAUGAGUUUUGACUGCUAGUUCACUUUAAACAUGUAUCUCUGUUGGGAAAUUGGUAGAAACUAGAAAUGCUCCUCUUCCCUGACCUUCCUUGCUCCUAGAGCAAGGACAUGUAACUUGGGCUCUGCUAACCUAAGAAACCCAUUUGAGAUUUUAAUUCAGAAGAUACUGAAGGAUACACAGUGCAACUCUGGUAAAGGUCCACAUUGAAAAUAUUUAUGAUACGAUAACUUAAGAGCCUUAAGAUAUCCCUACACUUUGAUUCUGUAAUCUCAUUACUCAAAAUUGGAAAUUAUCAGAGGCCAAAGCUAUACUUACUAAGAUGAUCACAGCUGCAUGUUCUAUCCAUAAAAGGAAAAAAUGGAAAUGUCCAUCCUUAGUAAAAUGGUCAAAUAAACCAUGAUGCAUGUACUUGAUGGAAUAUUAUUCAGUUUGUAUCUUUCAUAUUAGUGCCUAUCACAUGGUAGUUAUUUGUUAAAAUAAUGUUAAAGUGAAAAUUAUGGAGACUGUGCAUGGAAAAACAUAUGGUUUCUUGUGGUAACAAUAAGUAAAAGACAAAAUGAAUUUAUAUAUAUAUG